rnacentral:rRNA from 1 species
AACGAACGCUGGCGGCAGGCUUAACACAUGCAAGUCGAACGCCCCGCAAGGGGAGUGGCAGACGGGUGAGUAACACGUGGGAACGUACCCUUUUCUACGGAAUAACCCAGGGAAACUUGGACUAAUACCGUAUGUGCCCUUCGGGGGAGAGAUUUAUCGGAAAAGGAUCGGCCCGCGUUGGAUUAGCUAGUUGGUGGGGUAAAGGCCUACCAAGGCGACGAUCCAUAGCUGGUCUGAGAGGAUGAUCAGCCACAUUGGGACUGAGACACGGCCCAAACUCCUACGGGAGGCAGCAGUGGGGAAUAUUGGACAAUGGGCGCAAGCCUGAUCCAGCCAUGCCGCGUGAGUGAUGAAGGCCUUAGGGUUGUAAAGCUCUUUCAGUAGGGACGAAGCGCAAGUGACGGUAGGUGCAGAAGAAGGACCUGCCAACUACGUGCCAGCCGCCGCCGUAA